GGCGCCGUUGGAUCACCGGAGGAGCAGAACCUGCAGUCGCUCCGUACUGGCCGGCAGGGGGCGCUGUUGGGCUCCGGCAGCCGCCACGUGCGCCCCCAGUGGUGGGAGGAGCCGAACGGAGACCCCGCCCACCGACGGGGAGGGGGGAGGGGAAAGGGGGCUCUUCCCAUGGGCUCACGCUGUCGACGGCUGGCGCUGGCUGGGGUCCCCCUCUCUGUCGAUGGGUACAAGCUGCUGCUGACACGGGAAUGGAGGAGAGAAGGGGCAGCCUUUUCCCUCAGAAGUUCCUCCGCAGAUGGCACUGGCUUCUCUGUUGAAAUCCGAGGCAGACCGGGCAGUGGGCAGGGCAGGGGGUGAGGGAAACGGAGGCGAACCGGGGCCAAGACAACUAGGCGGCUUGGCUGGAAACAAAGAUGAAACUCUGGGCCUCUUUCUCUCCACAUACACCCUCCCUGAGUCCUGGGCAAAAGUAAAGUAAAAAGUUGCCGUUUCCCCAGGAGAAAACCUCAUCUUUUCCCCCUCCCAGUCUUCUGAGCCAAUUAGCUUGGAAUGUGGGGCUGUGGGCUGGCUCACUUGUGUGUGUGAAUCACUCCAGCCACCUGCUCUCGUUCAAAACGUUUCUUUCACAGUGGUAUAGGGAAAAAUUCCCAGCUGGUACUUGUUUUUUUUCUUUCUUUCUUUAAAACAGACGAACCUAUAACAUUCUGUCUCCAGCAAUUGUAAGCUGUAUCAGGAAGGCUGUGAAUUCAGGCUUUGGGGGAUCACAGAACUCUUGCUGCUGUGACGCUAUCGCUGGUGUAAAUGAUGGGUGGAGGAAUGAUGAUUGCUGCAAUCAGUGUUCAAAAUGUUUGUCAACAAGCUGUGUGACUCAUUAAUUACAGAUUAUAAAAUACUACUUUGCUUCUCUUGCUCCCUCCCCCCCCCUGUAGUUUGCAGGCAUUUAGCUCAGCCUUCUCCAGUUAACGCAUUGAUACAGACAGUGAAAGAAUACUCAGUAAAAUUGUUGGUUUAGCUCUGUCAAGUUGCUUCAUCCUUGAAAUGAUUUCAUAGGAGGAGAAGUGAAAUAUAAAGUUAAGCUAAGAGGAUGAAUUAUCAUGGACAGUUUCUGAUAGAUGAGGAUUUUUUGUCCUUCUUCAUACUUCUUUACAAGUGGGAUUAUUCUUUUACAUACAUGCAGCUAAAGCUGGGUUUGCUCUUGUUGAUAAUUAUAUAUAUUGUACAUUGUCAUACAGAAUUUUUUCUUUUUACUUUGGCUUUAAUAUCUCUGAGGAUGGAGUUUCCACAGCAUCUCUGGGCAACCUGCUCCACUGUUUGACAAUUCACAGUAAAAAGUUGAUUAAUGUGUUUAGGUGGAAUUUCAUGUCUUUUAAUUUUUUUCUCUUUUGUCUCGUCCUGUCACUGAACACCACUGACAAGAGCCUGGUUCCCUCUUCUUUUCCAGGCUGAGCAAUCCCAGAUCUCUCAACCUUUUCUUGUAUGGGAGGUGCUCUAGUUCUUUCCUCAUAUUUCUAGUCCUUUGCUGAAAUUACUCCUUAAAGUGUACAUGUCUUGUACUGGGGAGCCCACAACUGGACCCAGCCCUCCAGGUGUGGCCUCACAGCACUGAGUGGAGAGAAAGGAUCAUCCACCUCGACUUGCUGGCACCACUCCCAUUGCAGCCUAGGAUGUUGUUAGCUGCCUUUGCCACAGUGGUGCAUUGCUGUCUCAUGGGCAGUAUUACUUUUUGGACAAAUUGUUUUUGCCACCGAUGCUGCUGCUUCUUUCCACUUCUUUUUAUGUCUUUUAAUUUAUUUUUUUUUUCAUGUGUUGUUGGUUGGGGUUUUUUGUUUGUUUUUUUUAAAUGUUUAAUGUCUGGAUGGAAGAAUGGGCUUUGUUCGUUUGUAAUUUCCCAAUCCCUCAUCCUACCAUCUUAAUUUUUUUUUUCUGUAAGCUUUCUACAGCCUUGGGCCCAGUUACCAAACCCGACAGAGCUCAGUUCUAUUCUGCCAGAGUCAAAUCUCGACGUAGGAAGUGACUGAAUGUAUCAGGACACACAGGACAGGCUUUCCUGUGCCAUAUUCUUCAUGCUUUUCCUUCUGUGGAUUGGGCUGUAUUUCAUACAUAUAUUUCACCUGUAGCUGUACAGAAAAGAGAAGGCACUGAUUUGUCAGGAAGCUCUCUACAACCGGCUGAAAAAGAGAAUCUUAGCCAAGAUGUUGUGAGAGAGAUGAAAAUGGAGACUGACAGAUCACUUCUCUCUGUGGUGAAGAAAAUACUGUAGCUAAGAAACUCAGCCUUUCUGUUCAUGAUUCAAAUAAAAUCCACUUUCCAUCUCCAUAGGAGGCUAGAUUUAAAAAGAGGUGCCUCCACCACUGUAGGAACCAUGUAUAUCAAGUAGCCAUGCAUCCAGACUAGCAUUUUUUCCAUUUACAUUUGUUUAAAAUAAAAAUGUUUUUUCCUGGAAUGUGUGUGUGUGUAUGUGUGUGUGUCUGUGUAUGUACACCCACUUUUAUUGGGCAAACUUUAGACCUUCAUACCAUAAAGUUUUGGCUUUGUGUAUUGGUCCUCUGUUCCUUUCCCCACCGUUGAAUUAAUAUUGGUUUGUGCAGUCUGUUCUCCUAGCUCAUGUGAUAUUAAUGUAGAGCCUUUCCAUCUUCAGCUUCUUCCCUCUUGCUGUCACCCCUGUUUAAUAUAUAUUGUUUGUGAGGUGUGCUCUUGGUUCAUAGGUGCCAGCAUGUCAUUCAAUGCCAUAAACAUGUAGCGGUAAUUCCAGCUUAAGAUAAUCUCACAAUAAUGAGCUAACUUGCAAGGAAAAAAAAAACCCUGGCAAGAUAGUUAGUAUUAUUACUAAAGACUAUUAUUACUAAAGCAAAGUGUCAGAACAAAGCCUUUUUAAAGGAUUCCAGAGGGCUGGAAAACCCCUAUUAAAAAGACAGCUUUUGAAAUGAAAUCAAGGGAAAAGUGAAUAGCUCCCAUAAAACCAUUAAGGAUAAAGCUGUCAAAAAUACUUUCAGACAACAAUUUCAAGGGCUUUGUCCCAGGGACUGUGUGCUGUGCUCUGCCUGAAUUUCAUGUUCAUGACCUUCAACUGAGAAUGUUUUGCCUUAAUCCAGUCUUGACUGAUCCAACAAUGAAACUAAAUAAGUAUUAUCAAUAAUAAUCAAGACAGGCUUGAGGUAUAGCUAUGCGUAAAGACUCACUGCUUUGAAAUGCAAUAAAAGCACUGAAGAGUUCAGUAGCAAAGUAAGAUAGAUGUAAUCCUGCAUCCUGGAAAAAGCAGAACCUGACAGUGAUUUUACCAAAGUAUUGUGAUUUUUUAGAAGCUUGAAAAUGAGAAGUUGAAAUGUUUUGAUAAUCAGCCACAGUUCAUGAACAAGUAAAAGAAAAGAGAGCUAUUUCUGGUGGUAUGUUUUGCAGAGAGGAAAAGCUCUGAUGGGUCUUUGCCUCCUGGAACAGAGUUUCAUUGACAGAAAGAUGUAGCAUUCUUUUGGUAGACAUAAUA